rnacentral:rRNA from 1 species
AUUUAAGACCAUUCACACCAGAAAUCACCAAACCCCGUCCGAUUUUUGAAGUUAAGCUGGUGGUGAUGUCAUCUUGUUGUGGAGGGGGACCACACGGGAAUAAGACGCACAGAAUUAUUUU